rnacentral:lncRNA from 1 species
CAACGUUAAAAAUUCUAUUGAGCACUUUCAUUUUUCAGAAUAAAACAGGAUAAGCAAAUAACUCACAACAGUACCUCAUAGUCUUCUAUAAAUAGCUAAGCUAUACUUUACAGCUAUAAGAACGUGAUAUUUGUAUUUCCCUGAGAGCGUAGUUUGCUUUGAGUUCAAGGGCAUGGUGUAUGUGUAUAUGUGUGUUUCCCGAAGCCAUUGAGACCAGAAUAGAUGAAAGCUAAGACGAGAACAUGAAUCUGUUGGUGUUCUGAUGAGCUUAGCUCCCUGCCUGUUUCAGAUCAACCUUGGCAACUGGAGUCCCUUAACCUCAUCUACAGAUUCCGCUCCACCAAAGACUCUGGGCCACCUUCCCUCUAGGACAGGAGACCCAGCUGAGCAGCUCAGAGGCCCCACAGUAAGUUGGCCCAAAUGCUGGGCCUGCUCUAACUUGUGCCUCUGCUCUAAGAAGGGGAUUCCUUCCUUAGUUCCUUGCCUAGAAUACUCCCUUACCCUUAUUCUCCCUCACCCUUCUUGGGACUAGAGCCAAGCUCACAAACUCCAGGGCCUCCGAUAUCAUUUUCCAGACCUGCAUCCUUGGAACCUGACCUCCUCCUACCCCAUCUUCUUCUUCCCAGCCAGGGGUGCUCUGUCCACUCACAGGCCCUGCCUCAGUCUCCAGUCUGCUGUGCCAGAACAUCCUGCCAUGUCCUGCCUGAGUCCGAGGGUUCUUUGUCUCUGGGUUUAUUCUCAGCUUGGCUUUCCCCCUGCUGAUGGUGUGGGUUAUAACAGUUACCUUCCUGCAAAUGUGUUCGUCUUUAUUUCUUGAAAUGGAUUUUAGAUUUUAGAAGUUCUCAUCCUUGGCUGGUGCCUAGAAGCUAAAACCCUGAUGACUAUUCUUAAGUUUCCCCCAAAUGACUUGAACUUUCUUUCUCGAAGAGCUACAGACUGGCAGCUUCAUAUACAGAACCCUAGACCUUCUAACCAGGUGUAUCUGUUCCCUACCCAUGCCAUUAUUAGGAAUCCCUAUUUCUUGAGUGUCAGCUACAUGACAUUUUCCACAAUUCACCUGCAUAUCUGGUGUUGUAAAAAAUCAUAAAGAGUGUUUCCAUGAUUCAUUUAGGUAUUCUGAAGUAGUCCAGAAACUUGGGUCCUACAUUUAGAAUCAGGUUUAUAGCACAGAAAUCCCAAAUCCUCACUUUCCCAGCAUAGGGUUGACCUGCUGAUGGGCUCGAAGUUUGCCUAUGGGUCUUAUCAAAGGACCGCCAUCCCCUCCCUGACUAGGGGCGCUGUCUUUUUGAAGGGAGGCUCCCUGUGUAUGCCAGUACCAUUGUCAUUGGAUUUCCUCUCUGGAAGUUCCUCCCUGCAAUAGUCUUUGGAGUAAGACUGACUUUUCCUUCACAAAUCAGUUCACAAAUGGUUCUGGUGGCGAUCUCAAAGAGACAAACAUGUAAGCCAUGGCCACUGGUUGACUUCACUGCACAGCUUACCACCUUGACCCCCUGAAAGGCAAUCAAGACUUGGAUCCAGCCUCCUCACUUCAUACGCAUCUCAUUUUUAGCUAACUUGAAGAAAAUAAAAACAAGAAUAUUAACUGGUGGCCUAUUUACCUGUAUUGAGUGUCUAGCGUGGAGAUUUGCCAUUCGUGGGUGUCCUCAAGGCUUGACAGACAUGAAGAACUCCAUGAAUGUUUGCUGAAUUGAACUAGAUUACACUGUUACAUUGCUUCAGUUGGGAGCUUCCUGAUGGUUAUUAUAGUGCUCAUGAGUCAGCAAUAGUUUGUUCUAAAAUUCCACAAAUAUGUUUCUAUUGCCCUGUGUUACUUUCCACAGCAGAGAGCUGAACUGUCACGCUUCUAAGGCACAGAGCAUUUCACACACCAACAUACAUUUAUAUUUAUCUUCAAUAAUCUGGCAUAAACAGAAAUCUCACCUGUAAUUUUUCAAGUUUUUAAAAUCUGUUUCAAAUAUUAGCUUCUUCUAACCGUGACUGUUUAAUGAAAAUUCAAUUCACUAUCAACUCUAAUAACUAACUUCCCAAACUGCUGAAAAGAACAAGCCACACCGGAUAUGAAAUAAAACUCUAUAAAGAGAAUUGAAAUCAUAUGAUGAAAAUAAAGUCCAUUGGGUAACGCAGUUACUAUGUUGUUAUCAUUGUUGCUUUUUAAAUACAGCAUAUGAAACAGGAUCUCUUAACCUGUUUCUCCAGCUUGGGGAUUAGAAUGAAUUUCCAGUGAGCUCAUUUGAAAGCUGUAGCUCUUACAGUGAAGGACAGAUUCUGUUCUUUAAGUCACAAUUGAGCUACACUGAUCAAAAAACCAAGUAGAAGUGCUUUUUAAAAGUCUUGAAAACGAAGGCUUCAGGAGGAUGGGGUAUCAGGAACGUGGACCUAAAUCACUGUGUAAAAACUAGAAAGUGUACCAUCAAGGAGAAUCUGUCGCUCCUGUGUAGGCCAGCUGUGCUCAGGUGUUUACUUUUUUAAUAAAACAGUAGUUUGAGUCUCUAGAGACAUCUUGUCUAUAUUGCAGUACAACUGGUGAACACUAAGAGGCCAGGGCACCAG